rnacentral:rRNA from 1 species
CGAAGCCUGAACCAGCCAUGUCGCGUGCAGGAAGACGGCCCUAUGGGUUGUAAACUGCUUUUGUAUGGGAAGAAACGACGGUACGAGUACUGUUUUGCCGGUACCAUACGAAUAAGGAUCGGCUAACUCCAUGCCAGCAGCCGCGGUAAUUGA